UACGUAGGGUGCGAGCGUUAAUCGGAAUUACUGGGCGUAAAGCGUGCGUAGGCGGUUCGUUAAGUUCGUUGUGAAAGCCCCGGGCUCAACCUGGGAAUGGCAAUGGAAACUGGCGGGCUGGAGUAUGGCAGAGGGGGGUGGAAUUCCGCGUGUAGCAGUGAAAUGCGUAGAGAUGCGGAGGAACACCGAUGGCGAAGGCAGCCCCCUGGGCCAAUACUGACGCUGAGUGAGCGAAAGCCAGGGGAGCAAACGGG
rnacentral:rRNA from 1 species